CUUUUUACAAAAAAAAGAACUUUUGGAAAUGCGACCACCAAAGUCGAAAGAAUAACUUUUGCUUUGCAUAUUCCCUGAAACGAUCGAAAGAUAUCUCACUUCAUUAUAUUUUUAUUUCAAUCCUGAACUGCUUUAUUUUAUUUCAUUCCAGGGUAAUUUUAAAUCACCUUACUCUAUUUCAUUUUACUUCAUACAAGGACUAUUUUAAAUCUU